AUUGAACGCUGGCGGCAGGCCUAACACAUGCAAGUCGAGCGGAUGAAGGGAGCUUGCUCCUGGAUUCAGCGGCGGACGGGUGCGUAAUGCCUAGGAAUCUGCCUGGUAGUGGGGGAUAACGUCCGGAAACGGGCGCUAGUACCGCAUACGUCCUGAGGGAGAACGUGGGGGAUCUUCGGACCUCACGCUAUCAGAUGAGCCUAGGUCGGAUUAGCUAGUUGGUGGGGUAAAGGCCUACCAAGGCGACGAUCCGUAACUGGUCUGAGAGGAUGAUCAGUCACACUGGAACUGAGAAACGGUCCAGACUCCUACGGGAGGCAGCAGUGGGGAAUAUUGGACAAUGGGCGCAAGCCUGAUCCAGCCAUGCCGCGUGUGUGAAGAAGGUCUUCGGAUUGUAAAGCACUUUAAGUUGGGAGGAAGGGCAGUAAGUUAAUACCUUGCUGUUUUGACGUUACCAACAGAAUAAGCACCGGCUAACUUCGUG
rnacentral:rRNA from 1 species